GAGAAUUGCUUGAACCUGGGAGGCGGAGGUUGCAGUGAGCCGAGAUUGCAACAUGGCACUCCAGCCUGGCAACAAGAGCGAAACUCCAUCGCAAAAAAAGAAAAAAAGAAGUGGUGAAGGCAGUAUCUUACCUUAUGAAGAAAGCUUUCAAUCUUUCACCAUUGUGUAUGAUGUUACGUAUGAGUUUUUCAUAUAGACAGGGUCUUACUCUGUUACCGAAGCUGGUCUUGAACUCCUGGACUCAAGCAGUCCUCCUGCCUCUGUUUCCCAAAGGUUGCUCUUUUUUUUCUUAUUCCUUAAGGUAUAUAUUUAGGUUAUUAAUUGGAGACUUUUUUUUUUUGAGAUGGAGUGUCGCUCUGUCGCCUAGGCUGGAGUGCAGUCCCACAAUCUCGGCUCAUUGCAACCUCUACCCCCCUGCUUCAAGCCUCCUACUUCCUACCUCAGCCUCCCGAGUAGCU
rnacentral:lncRNA from 1 species